GAAAGAGGAACGACGCGUAUUAAUCUAGAUAAGGAUAAAAUCUCAUAAGACACGAUACUUUUAUGAGAAAUAAGAUUUUCUUCUGUGAUUCUUUUUUGCAAUAACACAUAAAUAUUUAAACUUAUGCAAAUAUUUUAUUGGAUAUGUAUUAUGAAAUAAUAUAUAUAUAUAUAUAUUAUUAUUAUCUGUGUACAUUUUUACUGCCUUAUUAAUUUUACACGCAGAAGUGUUAUUCUUCGUAAACCUUACCGUACUAAAUCUUCUUUUGUUCUAUCGUAACGUUACAUAUUCCAGGUUUUGUAGGUAUUACAGUCAGUGUACAUAUUCCGGUCGUUGUAUAAAUUGCUCUACUCAUUCUAUAAAAUAGUCAGACGAUUUUAGUCAGUCUAUAAUAUAAAAUGUGCUUUAGUGGAGUGUGUUUGAAAAACGUUGGUUCAACGUUCAAUCAAUAUUUUUAGAGAUAUUGAAGCGUGAAGAUUUACGGUCACCCCUAUAGAUUUCACAUUAGGUUAUUGCGAUCUUGUCCCAAUGUCAUCAAAACAAAUGAAUAUUGAAAAGCAAGCGGUGUUUGAUCAGUCAUGUUGAACUUCAUAAUCUAACCAUAGUUAGAUUGUUCUUUCACGUGCUAAUUUGUGCAGUGUUCUUUUAGAUACUUUUAUUUCUUUUCAAACUUGGUAUAUUUUGAACAUAAAGAAAAAUUAACCAAUUAGCUGUGAUUUACGAGUAUAGUUGUCACGGGGAAAUUGCAAUAUUUUGUGUUUUGACGAGUAUAUUCGUCAUGUGGAAAAAGUAUUAACCAUUUGUUAUUUGAAUGUCAAUGACAAGCUAUCUCGAGGACGUUUAAACCUCUGCUCGGAAGGCAAUAAAACGAAGAAAUGCACAUGUUUCGUCUUUGGGUUUUUUAACUGUGCAAGUACA
rnacentral:lncRNA from 1 species